rnacentral:rRNA from 1 species
AUUGAACGCUGGCGGCAUGCCUUACACAUGCAAGUCGAACGGCAGCGGACCUUCGGGUGCCGGCGAGUGGCGAACGGGUGAGUAAUAUAUCGGAACGUACCUUUCAGUGGGGGAGUAACGUAGCGAAAGUUACGCUAAUACCGCAUAUUCUGUGAGCAGGAAAGCAGGGGAGUCGCAAGACCUUGCGCUGAUUGGAGCGGCCGAUAUCAGAUUAGCUAGUUGGUGAGGUAAAGGGCUCACCAAGGCGACGAUCUGUAGCGGGUCUGAGAGGAUGAUCCGCCACAACUGGAACUGAGACACGGUCCAGACUCCUACGGGAGGCAGCAGUGGGGAAUUUUGGACAAUGGGCGCAAGCCUGAUCCAGCCAUGCCGCGUGA